CGGACGGGUGAGUAAUGCAUAGGAAUCUGCCCGAUAGUGGGGGAUAACCUGGGGAAACCCAGGCUAAUACCGCAUACGUCCUACGGGAGAAAGGGGGCUCCGGCUCCCGCUAUGGGAUGAGCCUAUGUCGGAUUAGCUAGUUGGUGAGGUAACGGCUCACCAAGGCCACGAUCCGUAGCUGGUCUGAGAGGAUGAUCAGCCACAUCGGGACUGAGACACGGCCCGAACUCCUACGGGAGGCAGCAGUGGGGAAUAUUGGACAAUGGGGGCAACCCUGAUCCAGCCAUGCCGCGUGUGUGAAGAAGGCCCUCGGGUUGUAAAGCACUUUCAGCGAGGAAGAACGCCUAGCGGUUAAUACCCGCUAGGAAAGACAUCACUCGCAGAAGAAGCACCGGCUAACUCCGUGCCAGCAGCCGCGGUAAUACGGAGGGUGCAAGCGUUAAUCGGAAUUACUGGGCGUAAAGCGCGCGUAGGUGGCUUGAUAAGCCGGUUGUGAAAGCCCCGGGCUCAACCUGGGAACGGCAUCCGGAACUGU
rnacentral:rRNA from 1 species